AACGAACGCUGGCGGCAGGCCUAACACAUGCAAGUAGCGAAGCCUUCGGGCUUAGCGGCGGACGGGUGAGUAACGCGUGGGAACGUGCCCUUUGGUACGGAAUAGCCCCGGGAAACUGGGAGUAAUACCGUAUGUGCCCUUCGGGGGAAAGAUUUAUCGCCAAAGGAUCGGCCCGCGUUGGAUUAGGUAGUUGGCGGGGUAAUGGCCUACCAAGCCGACGAUCCAUAGCUGGUUUGAGAGGAUGAUCAGCCACACUGGGACUGAGACACGGCCCAGACUCCUACGGGAGGCAGCAGUGGGGAAUCUUAGGCAAUGGGGGAAACCCUGAUCUAGCCAUGCCGCGUGAUCGAUGAAGGCCUUAGGGUUGUAAAGAUCUUUCAGUGGGGAAGAUAAUGACUGUACCCACAGAAGAAGCCCCGGCUAACUCCGUGCCAGCAGCCGCGGUAACAC
rnacentral:rRNA from 1 species